AGCGUAUAUUAAAGUUGUUGCAGUUAAAAAGCUCGUAGUUGGAUUUCUGGUAGGAGUAGUAGCUAUAGGUCUUUGACCUAUAAAGUUGCUAUCUUCAACCAUCCUUGAAGAUAUUUAGUCUGGCAUUAAGUUGUCGGAUUAAAGAUAUUCAUCUUUUACUGUGAAAAAAUCAGAACGUUCAAAGUAAGCAUUUAGCUUUGAAUGUAUUAGCAUGGAAUAAUAAAAUAGGACUUAGGUACUAAUUUGUUGGUUUAUGCACCUAGGUAAUGAUUAAUAGGGAUAGUUGGGGGUAUUCGUAUUCCAUUGUUAGAGGUGAAAUUCUUGGAUUUCUGGAAGACGAACAACUGCGAAAGCAUUUACCAAGGAUGUUUUCAUUAAUCAAGAACGAAAGUUAAGGGAUCGAAGAUGAUUAG
rnacentral:rRNA from 1 species